rnacentral:tRNA from 1 species
CCGAUGUGACAGAUAAUGUGAUAGCUUUAAAAUCUAUUUAAGGGGGAUCCCUUCGGA